CGCGUAGGCGGUGCUUUAGUGAGAUGUGCAAUCCCCGGGCUUAACCUGGGAACUGCAUCUCAGACUGGAGCGCUAGAGUACUGGAGAGGGUGGUAGAAUUCCACGUGUAGCGGUGAAAUGCGUAGAGAUGUGGAGGAAUACCAGUGGCGAAGGCGGCCACCUGGACAGUAACUGACGCUGAGGCGCGAAAGUGUGGGUAGCAAACAGGAUUAGAUACCCUGGUAGUCCACGCUGUAAACGAUGAACACUUGGUGUGGCGGGAGUUGACCCCUGCCGUGUCGUAGCUAACGCGCUAAGUGUUCCGCCUGGGGAGUACGGUCGCAAGGCUGAA
rnacentral:rRNA from 1 species